rnacentral:lncRNA from 1 species
AUAUGGUCUGGCUGAAACAACCUGGAUCUUCAUACUAACAGUGUUUAAGCAUAUAAUUAUGCACAAUAUAACUGCUCUGGUGGGGCUUUACAAAGUUGAAAUAUUAGUGAAUGAAUCUAGGUUACCAAAUCUGCGUGUAAAUAUAAUGAUCUGCAUUCUGUUUUUGUCCCUUGAGAAUCAGGCAACUUGUAUUCUUUAUCAGAUCUAUCCUUUACCCUUCUUAGUUUGGACCAGUUCUUUCUUUGUUCAAAACGAUUGUAUAUUUCUCUCCAUUUUUAGUCAAGCCAAUUCCAGGCUUCACCACCCGACCAUUUAGAUAGGUGUGAAAUAGUAAAUAUGUCCCACAUUUAGAUAGGUGUGAAAAGUUGAAUUCAAUUAUUGAGGGGUUGCAUUGUAUUGAAUUUGUGAAGAGGGGGAAUGAUUUAGAUUGAUUGCAGUAAGAAUUUAGAGAGAUUGUAACAAAUAAUCAAUUUUUUAAAGAAAAAUAUGGACUUACAAUCAAAUAAAGUUUUCUUAGUAUUAUCUCAACGAACAUUUCAUUUGCUUAAUGAUUUAAAUCAUAAAUUUGUAUCGGUGGCAGUAUAAUGGUGUGUGAGUAUGAUAAGCAAAAAAAGUCUUCAUGCCUUUGUGUGGGGGUACUUAGGAGGUGUUUGAUAAAAAUAGAAUGAAUCUGAAUGUGAAUGAGUUGAAUCUGAAUCUGUAUGAGCUAGAGUUGCACAAAAGGCCUGAGGCCUGCGGAUUGG